rnacentral:rRNA from 1 species
ACUCCUGCGGAAGGCAGCAGUGGGGAAUAUUGGACAAUGGGCGCAAGCCUGAUCCAGCCAUGCCGCGUGAGUGAUGAAGGCCCUAGGGUUGUAAAGCUCUUUCACCGGUGAAGAUAAUGACGGUAACCGGAGAAGAAGCCCCGGCUAACUUCGUGCCAGCAGCCGCGGUAAUACGAAGGGGGCUAGCGUUGUUCGGAUUUACUGGGCGUAAAGCGCACGUAGGCGGACUAUUAAGUCAGGGGUGAAAUCCCGGGGCUCAACCCCGGAACUGCCUUUGAUACUGGUAGUCUUGAGUUCGAGAGAGGUGAGUGGAAUUCCGAGUGUAGAGGUGAAAUUCGUAGAUAUUCGGAGGAACACCAGUGGCGAAGGCGGCUCACUGGCUCGAUACUGACGCUGAGGUGCGAAAGCGUGGGGAGCAAACAGGAUUAGAAACCCGAGUAGUCCCAUGA